rfam:Eurypyga helias contig52417, whole genome shotgun sequence.
GUGCAUGCUGGGCUAUAAUUUAUGAAAUGGAGCCCAGCAAACAACCAAUCCCUUAGCUCCUCCUAACAAGUCCAACUGGCUAUGAAAAGCUGGAAGUGCUGCACAGAACAAUGAAGAGGAGCUAUCCCACAUAUUAAUCUGCUUAUCUGGGAUUGCUUUCUGUGUAGAGAGAAGGAAGCGUGUAACAAGGAGAGGGGAAAAAAAAAAAAAGAAAGAUCACAGAUUUACUGUUGAAACAGCAGAAUAAACUCCAGUCUAAAGGCAAAUCUUCCACUGUAGUUG